rnacentral:rRNA from 1 species
GAUGAACGCUGGCGGCGUGCCUAAUACAUGCAAGUCGAGCGAACGGACGAGAAGCUUGCUUCUCUGAUGUUAGCGGCGGACGGGUGAGUAACACGUGGAUAACCUACCUAUAAGACUGGGAUAACUUCGGGAAACCGGAGCUAAUACCGGAUAAUAUUUUGAACCGCAUGGUUCAAAAGUGAAAGACGGUCUUGCUGUCACUUAUAGAUGGAUCCGCGCUGCAUUAGCUAGUUGGUAAGGUAACGGCUUACCAAGGCAACGAUGCAUAGCCGACCUGAGAGGGUGAUCGGCCACACUGGAACUGAGACACGGUCCAGACUCCUACGGGAGGCAGCAGUAGGGAAUCUUCCGCAAUGGGCGAAAGCCUGACGGAGCAACGCCGCGUGAGUGAUGAAGGUCUUCGGAUCGUAAAACUCUGUUAUUAGGGAAGAACAUAUGUGUAAGUAACUGUGCACAUCUUGACGGUACCUAAUCAGAAAGCCACGGCUAACUACGUGCCAGCAGCCGCGGUAAUACGUAGGUGGCAAGCGUUAUCCGGAAUUAUUGGGCGUAAAGCGAGCGUAGGGCGGUUUUUAAGUCUGAUGUGAAAGCCCCCGGCUCAACCUGGGAGGGUCAUUGGAAACUGGUUGACUUGAGUGCAGAAGAGGAGAGUGGAAUUCCAUGUGUAGCGGUGAAAUGCGUAGAUAUAUGGAGGAACACCAGUGGCGAAGGCGACUCUCUGGUCUGUAACUGACGCUGAGGCUCGAAAGCGUGGGUAGCAAACAGGAUUAGAUACCCUGGUAGUCCACGCCGUAAACGAUGAGUGCUAAGUGUUGGAGGGUUUCCGCCCUUCAGUGCUGCAGUUAACGCAUUAAGCACUCCGCCUGGGGAGUACGACCGCAAGGUUGAAACUCAAAGGAAUUGACGGGGACCCGCACAAGCGGUGGAGCAUGUGGUUUAAUUCGAAGCAAUGCGAAGAACCUUACCAAGUCUUGACAUCCUUUGACCACUCUAGAGAUAGAGCUUUCCCCUUCGGGGGGGCAAAGUGACAGGUGGUGCAUGGUUGUCGUCAGCUCGUGUCGUGAGAUGUUGGGUUAAGUCCCGCAACGAGCGCAACCCUUAAGCUUAGUUGCCAUCAUUAAGUUGGGCACUCUAAGUUGACUGCCGGUGACAAACCGGAGGAAGGUGGGGAUGACGUCAAAUCAUCAUGCCCCUUAUGAUUUGGGCUACACACGUGCUACAAUGGACAAUACAAAGGGCAGCGAAACCGCGAGGUCAAGCAAAUCCCAUAAAGUUGUUCUCAGUUCGGAUUGUAGUCUGCAACUCGACUACAUGAAGCUGGAAUCGCUAGUAAUCGUAGAUCAGCAUGCUACGGUGAAUACGUUCCCGGGUCU